GCUGUCAUGGCUGAGUGGUUAAGGUGUUGGACUUAAGAUCUAAUAGGGUUUCCCUGCGCAGGUUCAAAACUCGAUCACAGCG
rfam:Pelodiscus sinensis unplaced genomic scaffold scaffold2086, whole genome shotgun sequence.